GGGGGCGAUUUGGAUUCGACCGGAUGAAUAGAAGCAUGGCUUGCGUGUCGUGGUUGAUCAGUUGGCCACGUAAAAAGCUGAUCACAAUUUUUAAUUGCUAACGAAAGUUUCGCAAUGGCCGCCUAAGAACAGGUAGCCCGGACUGAUGGGGACCGCCAGAGUCGCCUGAAUGUCCGUCACAAUUCUGGAUCGCCCACUGUCCUACUCGAGACGUAGCGGGUUAAAAAAGAUUCGAGUUAGCGGAGUGCGGAACCUGUCAAACAGUGCCGUAUGAAGCGAACAGGUUUCUUCGAGAAACUAUAAAUAGUUUGACUACACACGUAGACGGUCCUGUGGAUGCAUCGCGGGACGCGGGUUCAAUUCCCGCCGCCUCCA
rnacentral:tmRNA from 1 species